UCGCAGCAGAAAGGCCAAUGCCACACUAGA
rnacentral:piRNA from 1 species